rnacentral:rRNA from 1 species
UGAAUACGAGAUGCUACGGCGUAGAAGCAGUCUAUGUCAUACUUCCAAGAAAAGCUUGCACUGUCAUAAACAAAUAAUGCCUGUACCAUAACCGACACAGGUGGGUAGGUAGAGUAUACUAAGGGGCGCGAGAUAACUCUCUCUAAGGAACUCGGCAAAAUGACUCCGUAACUUCGGGAGAAGGAGUGCCUUAUUUAUAAGGUUGCAAUAACAAGAUCCAAGCAACUGUUUACCAAAAACACAGGUCUCCGCUAAGUCGUAAGACGAUGUAUGGGGGCUGACGCCUGCCCAGUGCCAGAAGGUUAAAGAAGUUGGUUAGCAUCCGCGAAGCUGAUAACUGAAGCCCUGGUGAACGGCGGCCGUAACAAUAACGGUCCUAAGGUAGCGAAAUUCCUUGUCGGGUAAGUUCCGACCCGCACGAAAGGCGUAAUGAUUUGGAUACUGUCUCGGAGAGGGGCUCGGUGAAAUAGACUUGUCUGUGAAGAUGCGGACUACCUGCACCAGGACAGAAAGACCCUAUGAAGCUUUACUGUAACCUGAAAUUGAAAUUGGACUUUACUUGCGCAGUAUAGGUGGGAGGCGUUGAGAAUAUUCUUGCGGGAUUAUUGGAGCCAUCAGUGAGAUACCACUCUUGUAAUGUUAGAUUUCUAACUUUGUAUCAUUAUCUGGUCAAAGAACAGUUUCAGGCGGGCAGUUUGACUGGGGCGGUCGCCUCCUAAACGGUAACGGAGGCGCACAAAGGUUUCCUCUGAACGAGUAGAAAUCGUAUCUAGAGUGUAAAGGCAUAAGGAAGCUUGACUGUGAGACCUACAAGUCGAGCAGGGACGAAAGUCGGUCUUAGUGAUCUGACGGUGCUGAGUGGAAAGGCCGUCACUCAACGGAUAAAAGUUACUCUAAGGAUAACAGGCUGAUCUCCCCCAAGAGUUCACAUCGACGGGGAGGUUUGGCACCUCGAUGUCGGCUCAUCGCAUCCUGGGGCGGUAGUACGUCCCAAGGGUUGGGCUGUUCGCCCAUGAAAGCGGUACGCGAGCUGGGUUCAGAACGUCGUGAGACAGUUCGGUCCAUAUCCGGUGUAGGCGUUAGAAUAUUGAGAGGAGCCUUCUUUAGUACGAGAGGACCGAGAAGGACAUACCUCUGGUGUACCAGUUAUCGUGCCAACGGUAAACGCUGGGUAGCUAUGUGUGGAGUGGAUAACCGCUGAAAGCAUCUAAGUGGGAAGCCCACCUCAAGAUAAGUAUUCUCA